rnacentral:lncRNA from 1 species
UGAAACUGUAGAACGCAUGUACUAUCAUCGAUAAGAUGGCAUGUAUCUACAACCUUAUUCAGCAAAUAGGACAUGAUCAGAAAGUACCGACACCAGCCGGAAAUAAAUCGCACCAAAACCGAAGAAGCAAGUUCUGGAAAGACCAUGCAUCUAAUUUAGGAUAACAAAAUGUAGAUACAAUGCCAAGUACCGAAUAAUAUCUCAUGCCUGGCAAGUACCGAAUAAUAUCUCAUGCCAGCAUUAGGGUGAAGGACGAGGAACCAAUUAAGACAGUAGCAAAAAUAUGUGGAGAUGGCCAAAAAGAAGUUCACCUACAUCUAGCUAGCUUAGCUAACAUAAUACUCACCAUCUGUUUUCAAAACUAUUGAAAGCAUCUGCCUUAGAAGAGGUGUGAAACUUUGACUGACCAACGAUAUGCAGGAUCUGAUGGUAUAAAGCUGCAGGCAAGAAGAAAGAUGCAAAUGUGUAAUCCCUCCGGUCGGAAAAAAGUGUUCUUAGUUCAAAGCUGAGACACUUUUUAGGUGAGAGGGAGUAGUAAUUUGCAGACUGAAAGAACACCUUGACCUCAUCAUUAAUGAAAUGUCAGCAUGUGCACCAGAUAAAAGCUAAUUACCAGUUCGUUUAAGUACUGAUAUAAAAUAAAAACUUCCACCUUGCCAACAUAAAUGCAAGCGAAAGCGUAGAGAUAUCCCAAAGAAUGUAAGCGCAUGUACAUCUGAUUUGAAGUUCUUUUCUCUCAUAUGCAGAGGGGUCAUCCCCUUUUCGAGAAUUAUGCAGAUGAAUGAUGUUAGGCAUCUAUAAGUUUUCAUGAAAAAAUGGUGAUAUAGCAAAGUGAUUCAUCAAUAUGUAUCGAAUUAGCCACCAGUCCAUCAAACUCAACCUUCACUAAUUAGUGUGCUACAGGAGGGCUUUCAGCUUCCUUUUAACUCCAGAGACCACAUGUUGUACCUAUAGAUGCAGAAUUGGAGAAUAGAAUUUCAGUUCAUAAAUCCAAUAACAUACUGAUUGGACUAAUCCUCUCUAUUUAGUUGUUAAACAUUCAACAUGUGAAGCACCAAAAGCAAUCAACUAACAUCAAAUUCCAGGAGAUUUAUACAUUGUACAUACAUAAAAACAUCGCUGUGGCCUCCAAAAUUCCUGCAUGGAAAGUGGGCCAAUUCAAGUUAAAUCCUAUUCACCAACAAACAAACUAUGAACGUAUCACAAUGGAAGCAAAUGUGCUUUCUAUACCAUGAAUUAAGGAUUAUUUGAACUCACAGGAUCUGCGGUAACGCCCAUACCACCCAUCAGGCAAAUUGAAAUCGGGAUGGUGUUGACCAUGAUGAAAGAUCUUGUGCUGCCGGGUAGAAAGGAUGAGCCAAGAGUGUUAGGGAGGAAGAAUAUAUAGACGUAGCACCCUGCAGUGGAAAGGAUUAGCAUAUCAAUCACCAUGAAUGAACCCUAAGAAACUGAAGUAUGAUUGCGAGCAGUUUCCAACAGAUGAGGCGCCCACAAUCAUCAACUGUGUUCGCCUUUUCCACUUCACAAACGGAUCGACCGCAUCGGCUGGAUCGGACGGCCACUGAUUCAUCCGCAUCAUGCGCGUCCGCUGGAUCACCUCGUCGGCUAGAUCGCUACCCUCGCAUGCAUCAAUCUGAAUCACCUCGCUCGCCCCUCUCGUGCCUCGGCUGCCACGAGCGCCUCCUCUCUCUUCCCGUCAAGCAUCCCCUCGACCACACAAUUGUUUUUUU